CUCCAGGAAAGGCAGCAGGGUCCGCAGCCAGAGCUUCACCAAACAGGCCUCAGCCACCUCUGAGACACCGUGUCGCUCCGACCCAAGGAGGAGGGCUUUGCUUCCUACACAACAGCACCAGCAGGACAGUUGUUCUCAUUCCCCUGGUGUCUGGGGAUCUGAGAGAACAUCAUGAGAAACCCUGGGCUGGAUGAGUCACAAGCUGGAAUCAAGAUUACCGGGAGAAAUAUCAACAACCUCUCAUAUGCAGAUGAAUGAUACCACUCUAAUGGCAGAAAGCAAAGAGAAACUAAAGGGCCUCUUGAUGAGAGUGAAAGAGAAGAGUAAAAUAGCUGGCUUAAAACUCAACAUUGAAAAAAGAUCAUGGCAUCCGGUCCCAUCACUUCAUGGCAAUAAUUGGGGAAACAAUGGAAAUAGUGACAGAUUUUAUUUUCUUGGGCUUCAGAAUCACUGCAGAUGAUGACCUCACCAUGAAAUUAAAAGACACUUGCUCCUUGGAAGAAAAACUAUGACCAACCUCGAC
ensembl:lncRNA